UACGUAGGGGGCAAGCGUUGUCCGGAUUUAUUGGGCGUAAAGAGCGUGUAGGCGGCCAGGUAGGUCGGUUGUGAAAACUCGAGGCUCAACCUCGAGAUGUCGACCGAAACCAUCUGGCUAGAGUCCGGAAGAGGAGAAUGGAAUUCCCGGUGUAGCGGUGAAAUGCGCAGAUAUCGGGAGGAACACCGGUGGCGAAGGCGGUGGUCUGGGCCGGCACGUGACGCUGAGGAGCGAAAGCGUGGGUAGCAAACGAGG
rnacentral:rRNA from 1 species